rnacentral:rRNA from 1 species
AUUGAACGCUGGCGGCAGGCCUAACACAUGCAAGUCGAGCGAGCGGCGGACGGGUGAGUAAUGCCUAGGAAUCUGCCUGGUAGUGGGGGAUAACGUCCGGAAACGGGCGCUAAUACCGCAUACCAUCGGAUGUGCCCAGAUGGAAUUAGCUUGUAGGUGAGGUAACGGGUCACCUAUGCGACGAACCAUAGCUGGUCUGAGAGGAUGACCAGCCACACUUGAACUUAAACACGGUCCAGCCUCCUACGGUAGGCAGCAGUGGGGAAUAGUGCACAAGGGGCUCAAGCCUGAUGCAGCCAUGCCGCGUGUAUGAAGAAGGCCUUCGGGUUGUAAAGUACUUUCAGCGGAGAGGCGUUACCCGCAGAAGAAGCACGGGCUAACUCCGUGCCAGCAGCCGCGGUAAUAC